CCUAGCUGCAAGUCGAACGGCAGCAUGGUUUAGACUUGUUCUAGACUGAUGGCGAGUGGCGAACGGGUGAGUAACGCGUAGGAAUAUACCCUGAAGUGGGGGAUAACUUGAGGAAACUCAAGCUAAUACCGCACGAACUCUGAGGAGCGAAGCUGGGGCCUAUAUUUAUAUAGCCUGGCGCUUUGGGAUUAGCCUGCGUCUGAUUAGCUAGUUGGUGGGGUAAUGGCCUACCAAGGCGACGAUCGGUAGCUGGUCUGAGAGGAUGGUCAGCCACACUGGGACUGAGGCACGGCCCAGACUCCUACGGGAGGCAGCAGUGGGGAAUAUUGGACAAUGGGGGCAACCCUGAUCCAGCAAUGCCGCGUGUGUGAAGAAGGCCUGCGGGUUGUAAAGCACUUUCAGUGGGGAGGAUGCUAUGGCUGGUUAAGAGCUGGUUGUGGUGACGUUACCCACAGAAGAAGCACCGGCUAACUCCGUGCCAGCAGCCGCGGUAAUACGGAGGGUGCGAGCGUUAAUCGGAAUUACUGGGCGUAAAGGGUGCGCAGGUGGUUUGGUAAGUUAUCUGUGAAAUUCCCGGGCUUAACCUGGGCUGGUCAGAUAAGACUGCUGGACUUGAGUAUAGGAGAGGGCAGUGGAAUUUCCGGUGUAGCGGUGAAAUGCGUAGAUAUCGGAAGGAACACAAGUGGCGAAGGCGGUUGCCUGGCCUAAUACUGACACUGAGGCACGAAAGCGUGGGUAGCGAACAGGAUUAGAUACCCUGGUAGUCCACGCUGUAAACGCUGUCAACUAGCUGUGGCCAUAUAGACAUGGGUUAGUGGCGUAGCAACGCGCUAGUGGACCGCCUGGGGAGUACGUCGCAGAUAAAACUCAAAGGAAUUGACGGGGCCCGCCACAA
rnacentral:rRNA from 1 species